GACGAACGCUGGCGGCGUGCUUAACACAUGCAAGUCGAACGGAAAGGCCCUGCUUUUGUGGGGUGCUCGAGUGGCGAACGGGUGAGUAACACGUGAGUAACCUGCCCUUGACUUUGGGAUAACUUCAGGAAACUGGGGCUAAUACCGGAUAGGAGCUCCUGCUGCAUGGUGGGGGUUGGAAAGUUUCGGCGGUUGGGGAUGGACUCGCGGCUUAUCAGCUUGUUGGUGGGGUAGUGGCUUACCAAGGCUUUGACGGGUAGCCGGCCUGAGAGGAUGACCGGCCACAUUGGGACUGAGAUACGGCCCAGACGCCUACGGGAGGCAGCAGUGGGGAAUAUUGCACAAUGGGCGGAAGCCUGAUGCAGCAACGCCGCGUGCGGGAUGACGGCCUUCGGGUUGUAAACCGCUUUCGCCUGUGACGAAGCGUGAGUGACGGUAAUGGGUAAAGAAGCACCGGCUAACUACGUG
rnacentral:rRNA from 1 species